rnacentral:rRNA from 1 species
GACGAACGCUGGCGGCGUGCCUAAUACAUGCAAGUCGAGCGAACAGACUAUGACGUUGCUCCCUACACGUUAGCGUCUGACGUGCGAGUAACACGUGGACAACCUACCUAUCUGACUGGUAUAACUUCGGGAAACUGGAGCAAAUUCCGUAUAAUAUAUUGAUCUGCAUUGUUCAAUAGUGAAAGAUGGUUUUGUUCUCUUUCAUCGAUGGAUCCCGGCCGUAUUAUCUAGUUGGUAAGGUAACGGCUUACCAAGCCAACGAUCCUUAGCCGACCUCGGAGGGUGAUCGGCAACACUGGAAUGAGAAAACGGUCCGGACUCCUACGGGAGGCGGCGGAAGGGAAUCUUCCGCAUGGGGGGAAGGCCUAACGGGGCAACGCGGCGUGGGUGAUGAAGGUCUUCGGUUCGUAAGACUCUGUUAUUAGGAAGAAACAGAUGUGGAGGGGACUGUGCACGUCUUGACGGUACCUUAUCAGAAAGCCACGGCUAACUACGUG